UCAUCAGAUAUCUGGCGUUAUUGAGAAUGAUUCGCCAUACGUUUGUGCUAUUAGUACAUAAAAACAUUGUGCUUGUUUGUACAUACUUGAUGAGGCACUGGGUCUGAAAAUAAGGAAAAAAAAUUCCGCUAUUACUUAAAAACUACGGCAAGCAGCUGGGACAUAUGGUAACGUUAUGAAACUGGGCUACAUGGCGGAUGCAAUGAACUCGUUUUUAUUUGAAAAAAGCGUUGUUAAGAAUGUGAUGUGUCCAGCCUACUAAGAGGGCAGAUGACAAAUACGGUGCUUGGCUAAAUAAUAAAUACUGUGUGGUACCUUUCUGGAGAGGAUUCCAGAUACAGAAACAGAAUUCCUUUGCCUGCAUAUGUCAUUGUAGCAGAACUGUAUCCCAGUCGUGGAAUUAGACUCAUGAGCUGAAUGGCAGUUUAAUCAUGCCAACACUCCUCCCACAGCUUUACAAGUAUUCCCUGAACAUUACUAUACUGACCAUACUGCAUGUUUCUUUGUGAGUGGCAUUUUAAAUCAUGACCACCAGUUCUCUUAACUACAGUGCAUAUUGUAACCCCAGAUAAUGUGAUUUAACCAAAGAUUUUUGCCAUCCAUUAUUGGGAGUUACACAAUAGAUAAUGUUUGGUGUAGUGCAGAGAAUUUGACCAACCUUAGCGAGGAAAGAGGAGUCUCAAAAUAUCUGUGUCCAGUUGCAAGGGUCAGUUUAAAUUUAGAAAAUGCUCCGUUAUUAAAAUAAAAACAGUUUUUGCUUCAUGAAGUAAUUCAACAAUAUGUAUGCCGCCAUGUUGUCUAUUUCAAGUUCUCUCAUUGAUCGAGACAGUUCUCUAUCAUCAUGACGUGCAGCACUUUGGGGUGGAAACCCACCUGUCUUGAUCAAUGAGAGAAGACUUGAAAUAGACAAGAUGUCAGUUAAAAUCUUUGGGUAAAUCACAUCUGGUGUAACAAUCUGGGGCUACAGUACUCUACACUUGGGUGUACACCUCAGACACACUGAACUUUACUACACUGUUCAUGCUAUAUUAUUUUUGUAUGUUACUUUUACCAUAACAUUUUUGUUGAACACCCAGUUGUCUUGAACUAGCAUUAAAUAGUGUAAACACCCCUGUAUUUUAGAUUGACAAAUUGGAUAUCUGAAUGUCUAGCAUCUGUUUGAUGCUACAGAGCCCUCUACAGCAUAUAUAAAUAUAUUCUGUGAAUCCCUCAA